rnacentral:misc_RNA from 1 species
AAUGUACGUUAUUUCAUGUGAAUUGUAAAAUUCUGUGAAUCAUUGAAAUUUUGAACGCAAAAUGUACCUUUUAGAUUAAAACCCUAGAAGGUCUGUUUGUUUGAGUGUCUAAAAAAUUAAUUAUCACUUUUUUUCAUGUAACAAUGAAAAAAGAGGUGACAUUGUUUGAUCAAAACAAAAACAAAUUCUUGUUUUUUUUUUUUUGAUCAAAUUAAAAUCUUUGAGCAUUCGAUAAUUCUUUUUAAGAAAUUAAGAAAUAAUUCCUUAAAGAUUUUUAUUUCUUAAUUUUUUUCAAAAAGAACUAUCAAUUUGCACUUUUUUAUUAUUAUUUAUUAAUAAUAAUAAAACUCUAUAAAAAAAACUUGACCUCAAAUCAAAUAGGAUUACUCGCUGAAUUUAA